rnacentral:rRNA from 1 species
AAUAGAUACCCGGGUAGUCCAUGCCGUAAACGUUGGGCACUAGGUGUGGGGGACAUUCCACGUUUUCCGCGCCGUAGCUAACGCAUUAAGUGCCCCGCCUGGGGAGUACGGCCGCAAGGCUAAAACUCAAAAGGAAUUGACGGGGGCCCGCACAAGCGGCGGAGCAUGCGGAUUAAUUCGAUGCAACGCGAAGAACCUUACCAAGGCUUGACAUGUGCCAGACCGCCUCAGAGAUGGGGUUUCCCUUCGGGGGCUGGUUCACAGGUGGUGCAUGGUUGUCGUCAGCUCGUGUCGUGAGAUGUUGGGUUAAGUCCCGCAACGAGCGCAACCCUCGUUCCAUGUUGCCAGCACGUAGGUGGUGGGGUACUCGAUGGGAGACGUGCCGGGGUCAACGUCGGAGGAAGGUGGGGAUGACGUCAAAUCAUCAUGCCCCUUAUGUCUUGGGCUUCACGCAUGCUACAAUGGCCGGUACAAGUGGGUUGCGAUACUGUGAGGUGGAGCUAAGUCCCGUAAAAGCCGGUCUCGAGUUCGGAUUGGGGUCUGCAACUCGACCCCG